rnacentral:rRNA from 1 species
UACGAAGGGGGCUAGCGUUGUCCGGAAUUAUUGGGCGUAAAGCGCGCGCAGGCGGUCCUUUAAGUCUGAUGUGAAAGCCCACGGCUCAACCGUGGAGGGUCAUUGGAAACUGGGGGGACUUGAGUGCAGAAGAGGAGAGUGGAAUUCCACGUGUAGCGGUGAAAUGCGUAGAGAUGUGGAGGAACACCAGUGGCGAAGGCGGUUCUCUGGGCCUGUACUGACGCUGAGGAGCGAAAGCGUGGGGAGCGAACAGG